rnacentral:ribozyme from 1 species
GCGCUGUCCUGGCACUUUUGACCUUCGAUACGGAUCGAAGGUUGUGUCAGGGAAGCACGGUAGGGAAACAUGCGUCGCAGCCGUCUGCUACGCAGCACAUUAACUACC